rnacentral:rRNA from 1 species
UACGUAGGGUGCGAGCGUUAAUCGGAAUUACUGGGCGUAAAGGGCGCGUAGGCGGCCUACUAAGUCAGACGUGAAAUCCCCAGGCUUAACUUGGGAACUGCGUCUGAUACUGGAAGGCUUGAGUGCGGGAGAGGGAUGUGGAAUUCCAGGUGUAGCGGUGAAAUGCGUAGAUAUCUGGAGGAACACCGGUGGCGAAGGCGGCAUCCUGGACCGACACUGACGCUGAGAUGCGAAAGCGUGGGGAGCAAACAGG